rnacentral:rRNA from 1 species
CCCUUAGAUGUUCUGGGCUGCACGCGUGCUACACUGAUAUUGCCAAUAUGUCAUUCUUAUCCGAAAUGGAUUGGGUAAUCAAGUAAUGAAAUUUCAUGCUUGGAAUCGGUAAUUGCAAUUUUAUCGUGAACGAGGAAUUCCUAGUAAGCACUAGUCAUCAGCUAAUGUUGAUUAUGUCCCUGCCCUUUGUACACACCGCCCGUCGCUACUACUGAUUGGGUGUUCAAGUGAGAUGCUUAGACCCUUGUUGCAUGGUUCAUUAUUGUGCUCCGAAAGGAAAAAGUUUCAAGCUUGAGUGUCUAGAGGAAGUAAAACUCGUAACA